rnacentral:rRNA from 1 species
UACGUAGGGUGCGAGCGUUGUCCGGAAUUAUUGGGCGUAAAGAGCUCGUAGGCGGUUUGUUGCGUCGACUGUGAAAACCCGCGGCUUAACCGCGGGCUUGCAGUUGAUACGGGCAGGCUAGAGUUCGGUAGGGGAGACUGGAAUUCCUGGUGUAGCGGUGAAAUGCGCAGAUAUCUGGAGGAAUACCGGUGGCGAAGGCGGCAUCCUGGACCGGCAUUGACGCUGAGGAGCGAAAGCCAGGGGAGCAAAGCGGG